rnacentral:tRNA from 1 species
GGCCGCCUGGUGGAACAGGUAUACACGCGUGAUUCAAAAUCACGUGCCGUAAGGCGUGAGGGUUCGAACCCCUCGGCGGCCA